ACACUAGUCUAAUAUAAAACUAAAGUUUUGGUUAUGUUUGAUUUUCAAAAAAAAGGGAAAGGGGAAGGCAUCAAAACUAAAAGUUUUGGUUAUAUAUGAUUUUCAGAAAAAGGGAAAGAGGAAGUUACCGGCUGAGAAGCUUAGCAAGCUGGAGACUCGUAAAGAGAAGAAGGCCAAAAAGGACCCAUACAAACCCAAAAGAGCUCCUACUGCCUUCUUUGUCUUCCUGUAAGUAUUCUUGGAUGCAUGCUUGUUGAACUUUCUACAAAACAUUCCAUGGUAUACUGUUUUUAUUUCCUGUUCUAAAGUUGAACUUGUUGGUUUAUUUGUUCCAGGGAAGAUUUUAGGAAAACUUUCAAGAAAGAAAUCCAAAUUGUUGUCUCUGCUGUAAGCAUUUGUCAGAUUCCUUGAAAGCAUUACAUGUAUUUAGUUAGUCCUUUACAUGAUGAAGCCCUCAUAGUUCUGUUCUACCUUCCCUUUCCCUUGUGAAGGUUGGGAAAGCUGGAGGGCAGAAAUGGAAGUCAAUGUCACGUGUAACUUUCGUCUUUGAUAUUGUGAUGGAAAGACUUGCUUUCUAGAUCUUUUUGUUCAUGAAAAUAGUUACCUUUCUAUGUAGAAAGGAUGGUUCUGUAGUCACCUGCCAGGACAAAAAGUAGAAUCCUGCUUUGUUUGUCAUAAAACCACCUUCUAUAGAUGACUAGAGAAAACUUAUGUUUUUGUUUCUACCAGAGAGCUUAAGCAAACUAAUUUAAUCCGUGGUUGCAUAUACUGCCAGAAAGUUAUAACAACUCUGGUUACUUUAUAUAGUUAAGUAAUAUUGUAGUCUUUGGACCUCCAAAAAUAUCACUGUGAUCUUUGAAUCAAAAAGUGUCUUGAUUGUGACACUGACAUAAGUUUUCACCUCUUUCUUUGAAGGAAAAGCUCCAUAUGAGAAAGCUGCAAAGAGGAAAGCUGAAUAUGAAAAGUAUACAACAAAAACAACGUAAGUCCUAAGCCCUAUGUGGUGCAUAGACACAUACUUGUGUGUCUAACAAUGAAUAUCCUUGCAAUGGGGGCAGGAAGAAGGUAUUGAUGAAUCUGAAAAGCCUAUACCCGAGGUGAAUGAUGAAGAUGAAGCUAGUGAGGAGGAAGAGCAGCUAGAGAAGGACAACUGUAGAUCGAAAUGGUGUGUGUUUUUUCUCCUUUUUCCUAAGAAAGCGAAACAGUUCUUA